GACGAACGCUGGCGGCGUGCUUAACACAUGCAAGUCGAGCGGUAAGGCCCUUUCGGGGGUACACGAGCGGCGAACGGGUGAGUAACACGUGGGUGACCUGCCCUCAGCUCUGGGAUAAGCCCGGGAAACUGGGUCUAAUACCGGAUAUGACUCCAUGACGCAUGUUGUGGGGUGGAAAGCCUUGUGCGGCUGAGGAUGGGCCCGCGGCCUAUCAGCUUGUUGGUGGGGUGAUGGCCACCAAGGCGACGACGGGUAGCCGGCCUGAGAGGGCGACCGGCCACACUGGGACUGAGACACGGCCCGGACUCCUACGGGAGGCAGCAGUGGGGAAUCUUGCGCAAUGGGCGAAAGCCUGACGCAGCGACGCCGCGUGAGGGAUGACGGCCU
rnacentral:rRNA from 1 species